GGUUUCUUGAUAUGAAUUUCUUUCUUCAUACCAUGGCGCUGUUGGACUUUACGUAUUGUUGUAUCGUCUUAAUAGAUCUUCAGUGAUUCGUGGUGGAACAUACUGCUACAUAAUAGGUCCCAGUACGGUACCCAUUUUCUAGGCCAUCAUAUAGAUCAAAAAGGCGCAGGAACAUGGGAAGUUUCAGAGUUACACAAAUUUUCUAUCCUACCAGUAGGGGCUUGGUCAUUUGAGGUAAUGUAUUUAUAAACUCACAUUAAUUCUCUAUUUGGUACUCACAGAGCAUGCUCAUGGUAAUGUCACAGAUUUGUAUAGAGUACGAAAAAAACAGGAUUACCAACCGCAAUUUCAAAAAUGCUGCUUAUAAUAAAGGUCAGCAUAGUUUUGCUGUCGCUGCUGGCCGACACAGCGCUGACCCACCAUGCCCUGAAGAAAAAGGCCAGCGAGGGCCUGGUCGAGUGGAGCUCUGCUGCUGCUGUGGUUGCCUGUCCCAAUGAGGCAAGACCGAGCUGGUGCAGCUGCACCUCGGGCGGGUGGAGCUGGCGCUGCUUGCCUCUGCGUGCCGAGACGAGGCUGGUACAGUGUUUUGACCACCGAUGAUUAACACGAAUCUAGACUGAUGUUUGAUGCAAAUGAGAAAAUCUGUUUGUGCUUAUAGUGUUUUGUCUGGCUGUUCCCGGCUCUUGGCAACUCAGUCCGUGAGAUGAAUGGGAAGUUCAGAUUUCUGCUGGAUCACUCACAUGUUUUCUAGCAAUAGAAGAACCUUGGUGCUAAUCACUUGAGCUAAUUAUAUGUUUUUAUUCAUUUUGUUUCAGGUAUGCUAUCACGAUGAUUAUAUCCAACCCGAGAAUGGGGAUAGCCAUUCUUUCGACAGCAAUGAAGCAAGUUCAGAUAGUCAAUGAAAUUAUAUGUUUUGGAAAAGGCAAUCGGGUCAUUCAUGCCACUAUUGUCAGUGUAUCCGGAGCAUUGGCGCUUUAUCAGAAAUAGUUCAGUUCAAACUAUUAAGUAGAUCAUACUGGCGGUUUGCAUCAGUUGGUGCUCAGCUGAGCUUUUUUAGGGUCAAGUUCCAUGAACUAAAUGUUCAGACGGGCUGGCCAAUGCAUCAACUUGACUCAAACAGGUUCGGUUAUGUUCUGGGUCAAGCAUGUGGUGAAUGCAUUGUGCAUCCAGAUAAUGUGAUGAAUGUAUACGAACUAUAUACCA